UAGAUAGACAGCAAAUAUACUAAAAUUGGAAUAAUACCGAGAAUAUUAGCAUGGCCCCUGCAUAAAAUAAAAAUGUUUUUAAUUAAGAAAAAGAUAAUUUGU